rnacentral:rRNA from 1 species
AGCCCAGACUCCUACGGGAGGCAGCAGUGGGGAAUAUUGCACAAUGGGGGAAACCCUGAUGCAGCGACGCCGCGUGAGCGAUGAAGUAUUUCGGUAUGUAAAGCUCUAUCAGCAGGGAAGAAGAUGACGGUACCUGACUAAGAAGCCCUGGCUAACUACGUGCCAGCAGCCGCGGUAAUACGUAGGGGGCAAGCGUUAUCCGGAUUUACUGGGUGUAAAGGGAGCGUAGACGGCAGUGCAAGUCCGGAGUGAAAGCCCGGGGCUCAACCCUGGGACUGCUCUGGAAACUGUAAAGCUGGAGUGCGGGAGGGGCAGGCGGAAUUCCUGGUGUAGCGGUGAAAUGCGUAGAUAUCAGGAGGAACACCGGCGGCGAAGGCGGCCUGCUGGACCGUAACUGACGUUGAGGCUCGAAAGCGUGGGGAGCAAACAGGAUUAGAUACCCCGGUACA